rnacentral:rRNA from 1 species
CAGGGAAUUGCAACAGCUCUACAAUGCAAGUCGACGGUAGCACAGAAGAGCUUGGUCUCGUUUGACAAGUGGGGGAUGUAGGUGUAAAGUCUGGGAGACUGUGCGAGGGGGGGGGAUAACUACUGGGAACGCGGGCUCAUACCGCACAAUGCCGCACGACCAAAGAGGGGGACCUUCGGGCCUCUUGCCCUCGCAUGUGCCCCGAUAUGAUUAGCUAGUAGGUGGGGUAACGGCUCUCCUAUGCGACAAUCCCUAGCUGGGCUGAGAGAAUGACCCCCCACACUGGGACUGAGACACGGUCCCCACUCCCACGGGAGGCAGCGCUGGGGAAUAUUGUACACUGUGCGCAUGCCCGAUGCGCCCACGCCGCGUGUAUGAAAAAGGCCUUUUGGUUGUAAAGUACUUUCUCCGAGGAGAGAGGCGUUGUGGUUUUUAUCCUCUUCGAUUGACGUUACUCGCAGAAAAAAACCGGCUAACUCCCUGUCCCCACACGCGGUAUUACGCAGGGGGCGAGCGUUAAUA